CGGCGUAAAGCGUGUUUAGGUACAAAGCCAAAAUAAAGUUAAACCAAAGCUAAGCUGUAAAAAGCCCUAGCACAGGUAAAAGACGCAACGAAAGUGACUUUAAAAUAUCCGACUACACGAUAGCUAAGACCCAAACUGGGAUUAGAUACCCCACUAUGCUUAGCCAUAAACCAAAACAUUUAAUUAACAAAAUUGUUCGCCAGAGUACUACUAGCAACAGCCUGAAACUCAAAGGACUUGGCGGUGCUUCAUAUCCACCUAGAGGAGCCUGUUCUGUAAUCGAUACACCCCGAUAAACCUCACCACCCCUUGCCAACACAGCCUAUAUACCGCCAUCUCCAGCAAACCCUAAAAAGGUAAUAUAGUAAGCACAACUAUUAUCACAAAUACGUUAGGUCAAGGUGUAGCCUAUGGGAUGGGAAGAAAUGGGCUACAUUUUCUAACUUAAGAAUACACUUUAUACGAAAGGCUUUAUGAAACUUAAAACCAGAAGGAGGAUUUAGCAGUAAAUUUAAGAAUAGAGAGCUUAAU
rnacentral:rRNA from 1 species